AGGGAUUUGGGGGGCAAUUGACAAAAUUGUAAUAUGGUGACAAAUUAAAGUAUCAUGUUGAUAACUAUACUAUGGUUAUGUAAGGAAAAUCCUUAUUCUUAGAAAAUACGCAUUGUAGUUCAGGUAUGUGGCUCAUGUCUGCAGUCCUAACGCUCUGGGAGGCCAAGGUGGGUAGAUGGCUUGAGCUCAGGAGUUCAAGACCAGCCUAAAAAAGAGCAAGGCUCCUAUCUCUAAAAAAUAACUGGGUGUGACAGAGUUUGGUGUUUCACGCGAUGCUGCAGCUGGGUGUCUUGGAGCUUAUGCUGCGACACUUGAAUUAGUUUUAGUAGAAGAGAAAUGGAGGAUCCAUAGAACAUUAAAGAUGAAUUCAGGAAGGCCUGAGACCAUGGAAAACGUGCCUGUUCUCUACACUAUUUUCCAAGGAGAGGUUGCUGUGGUGACAGACUAUGGAGCCUUUGUCAAAAUCCCAGGUUGUCGGAAGCAAGGUCUGGUCCAUCAAACUCAUAUGUCAUCCUGUCGGGUGGAUAAGCCCUCUGAGAUAGUAGAUGUUGGAGACAAAGUAUGGGUGAAGCUUAUUGGCCGAGAGAUGAAAAAUGAUAGGAUAAAAGUAUUCCUGUCCAUGAAAGUUGUCAACCAAGGGACUGGGAAAGACCUUGGUCUCAACAGUGUUAUCAUUGAGCAAGAAGAGAGGAGGAGGCAUUUCUGCCAGGAUUACACUGGGCAGAUCACCCUCAAGGCUGUCCUGAACACUACCUGCAAGAAGUGUGGUUGUAAAGGUGAGACGAAGCUGCUGCCAUUUCCACUUUUCUCUCCUUAUGGAUGUACCCUUUACUGGAUGAAGGAGGUAGCCCAAUGCCACUUUGCAAAAGACUGCUUCAUGCAAUCGGGUGGGACCAAAUACUCUCUGAUACCUGAUGAGGAAGAAGGGGAGGAAGAAGCAAAGUCAGCAGAGUUUGAGAAGCCUGACCCCAUGAACAAUUCUUCUAGAAAAAGAAAAAAAGAAAAGAAGAAAAAGAAACAGAGAGAGAGGAAGUCAUCUGACUCUGACAGCUCAGACUCAGACUGAUACAGGCAAGAGGUCAAGGCACACAUCAAAAGACAGCAAGGCAGCAGAGAAGAAAAAGAAGCAUAAUAAGUACAAGGAGUGAGAGUAGAAAGAGUGUAGAGGGUGGUUGUGACCUUGAAAGCCCUGGAUCCUAGAAAGAAUCAAUAGUGAGAAUAUGGCUUCCCACCCUGUUAACGUCACUCCCAUGGGAGAUGGCUUCCCCUUGUGCAACAGGCGGGUUUGGGAACUAGAGUACAAAAGCAGCUGCUUGAAUGAGUUGUUUCCUUAUCACUCCUGGUCCCUUUGCAAGUGACCCCUGCAGCUCACACAUUUUCAUUCAUCCAACUUCCUUCAUUCAGCAGGAGGUCCUAGUACCUUCUCCAGCUGUCACUACCAGAACUGGAUUCCUACACAGGAGUCCAGGCUAGAGCCACAGGGACUUCUGUGGAGGUCGGAAGUCCAUGCGGCAAUCUACAGCUGAGCACACUCGUCAGACAUUCCUUCGGGUACAAGAGAGGCAAG